AUUGAACGCUGGCGGCAUGCCUUACGCAUGCAAGUCGAACGGUAACAGGGAGCUUGCUCCGCUGACGAGUGGCGAGCGGGUGAGUAAUGUAUCGGAACGUACCUUUUAGUGGGGGAUAACGUAGCGAAAGUUACGCUAAUACCGCAUAUUCUCUGAGGAGGAAAGCAGGGGACCUUCGGGCCUUGCGCUAAUAGAGCGGCUGAUAUCAGAUUAGCUAGUUGGUGAGGUAAAGGCUCACCAAGGCGACGAUCUGUAGCGGGUCUGAGAGGAUGAUCCGCCACACUGGAACUGAGACACGGUCCAGACUCCUACGGGAGGCAGCAGUGGGGAAUUUUGGACAAUGGGGGCAACCCUGAUCCAGCCAUGCCGCGUGAGUGAAGAAGGCCUUCGGGUUGUAAAGCUCUUUCGGCCGGGAAAAAAUCGCAUGGGUUAAUACCCUGUGUGGAUGAUGGUACCGGAAUAAGAAGCACCGGCUAACUACGUGCCAGCAGCCGCCGUAA
rnacentral:rRNA from 1 species